UACAGAGGUCUCAAGCGUUAAUCGGAAUUACUGGGCUUAAAGGGUCCGCAGGCGGUCUGGCAAGUACCUUGUGAAAUAUCAGGUCUCAACCCUGAAACUGCUCGGUAGACUGUCAGACUUGAGUGCAAAAGGGGUCGCUGGAACUCUAGGUGGAGCGGUGAAAUGCGUAGAUAUCCGGAGGAACACCGGUGGCGAAGGCGGCUUCCUGGACCGACACUGACGCUGAGGCGCGAAAGCUAGGGGAGCAAACGGG
rnacentral:rRNA from 1 species